rnacentral:rRNA from 1 species
GUCCAGACUCCUACGGGAGGCAGCAGUGAGGAAUAUUGGUCAAUGGGCGGGAGCCUGAACCAGCCAAGUCGCGUGAGGGAAGAAGGUACUGAGUAUUGUAAACCUCUUUUGCCAGGGGACAAAGGCGGCCACGGGUGGCCGUAAGAGGGUACCUGGAGAAAAAGCAUCGGCUAACUCCGUGCCAGCAGCCGCGGUAAUACGGAGGAUGCGAGCGUUAUCCGGAUUUAUUGGGUUUAAAGGGUGCGUAGGCGGUUUUUUAAGUUAGUGGUUAAACGUCGGGGCUUCACCUUGAUUUGCCAUUAAUACUGUAAGACUCGAGUUCAGACGAGGUAGGCGGAAUAAGUUAAGUAGCGGUGAAAUGCUUAGAUAUAACUUAGAACUCCGAUAGCGAAGGCAGCUUACCAGACUGCGACUGACGCUGAAGCACGAGAGCGUGGGUAGCGAACAGGAUUAGAUACCCUUGUAUU